UACGGAGGGUGCGAGCGUUGUCCGGAAUCACUGGGCGUAAAGGGCGCGUAGGUGGCGCGGGAAGUCAACGGUGAAAGUUCGGGGCUCAACCCUGAAUCGGCCGUCGAUACUCCCGGGCUCGAGCACUGUAGAGGCAGAUGGAAUUCCGGGUGUAGCGGUGGAAUGCGUAGAGAUCCGGAAGAACACCGGUGGCGAAGGCGGUCUGCUGGGCAGGUUGCUGACACUGGACGGCGCCGA
rnacentral:rRNA from 1 species